rnacentral:rRNA from 1 species
UACGUAGGGGUGCAAGCGUUAAUCGGAAUUACUGGGCGUAAAGCGUGCGCAGGCGGCUAUGCAAGACAGAUGUGAAAUCCCCCGGGCUCAACCUGGGAACUGCAUUUGUGACUGCAUGGCUAGAGUACGGUAGAGGGGGGAUGGAAUUCCGCGUGUAGCAGUGAAAUGCGUAGAUAUGCGGAGGAACACCGAUGGCGAAGGCAAUCCCCUGGACCUGUACUGACGCUCAUGCACGAAAGCGUGGGGAGCAAACAGG